rnacentral:rRNA from 1 species
UACGGGGGGGCAAGCGUUGUUCGGAAUUACUGGGCGUAAAGGGCUCGUAGGCGGCCAACUAAGUCAGACGUGAAAUCCCUCGGCUUAACCGGGGAACUGCGUCUGAUACUGGAUGGCUGGAGUUUGGGAGAGGGAUGCGGAAUUCCAGGUGUAGCGGUGAAAUGCGUAGAUAUCUGGAGGAACACCGGUGGCGAAGGCGGCAUCCUGGACCAAUACUGACGCUGAGGAGCGAAAGCCAGGGGAGCAAACGGG